rnacentral:rRNA from 1 species
UAAGGCUAAAUACUCUCUAGUGACCGAUAGUGAACCAGUACCGUGAGGGAAAGGUGAAAAGUACCCCGGAAGGGGAGUGAAAGAGAACUUGAAACCGUGUGCUUACAAGUAGUCAGAGCCCGUUAAUGGGUGAUGGCGUGCCUUUUGUAGAAUGAACCGGCGAGUUACGAUCUGAUGCAAGGUUAAGCAGAAAAUGUGGAGCCGUAGCGAAAGCGAGUCUGAAUAGGGCGAAUGAGUAUUUGGUCGUAGACCCGAAACCAGGUGAUCUACCCUUGGUCAGGUUGAAGUUCAGGUAACACUGAAUGGAGGACCGAACCGACUUACGUUGAAAAGUGAGCGGAUGAACUGAGGGUAGCGGAGAAAUUCCAAUCGAACUUGGAGAUAGCUGGUUCUCUCCGAAAUAGCUUUAGGGCUAGCCUCAAGUGAUGAUUAUUGGAGGUAGAGCACUGUUUGGACGAGGGGCCCCUCUCGGGUUACCGAAUUCAGACAAACUCCGAAUGCCAAAUAAUUUAACUUGGGAGUCAGAAUGUGGGUGAUAAGGUCCAUAUUCGAAAGGGAAACAGCCCAGACCACCAGCUAAGGUCCCAAAAUAUAUGUUAAGUGGAAAAGGAUGUGGCGUUGCCCAGACAACUAGGAUGUUGGCUUAGAAGCAGCCAUCAUUUAAAGAGUGCGUAAUAGCUCACUAGUCGAGUGACACUGCGCCGAAAAUGUACCGGGGCUAAACAUAUUACCGAAGCUGUGGAUUGUCCUUUGGACAAUGGUAGGAGAGCGUUCUAAGGGCGUUGAAGCAUGAUCGCAAGGACAUGUGGAGCGCUUAGAAGUGAGAAUGCCGGUGUGAGUAGCGAAAGACGGGUGAGAAUCCCGUCCACCGAUUGACUAAGGUUUCCAGAGGAAGGCUCGUCCGCUCUGGGUUAGUCGGGUCCUAAGCUGAGGCCGACAGGCGUAGGCGAUGGAUAACAGG